GCCCUCUCAGGGUAGCACCUGGAGAGUUUCCAGUACUCUACAGCCUUGGCUAUGGAAGGGAGAUUCAAGCAAAGGCCUAUCCAUUCCACUCCUAGCUUGGGCAGUGGCUAGUGAGUGGAAGGCAAUUUGCUACAAGU